GACGAACGCUGGCGGCGUGCCUAACACAUGCAAGUCGAACGGAGUGUUUAUUUAUAAACACUUAGUGGCGAACGGGUGAGUAACGCGUAGACAACCUACCCUCUAGAUGGGGACAACACCGCGAAAGUGGUGCUAAUACCGAAUGUUGUAAUGUUAUUGCAUAAUGAUAUUACUAAAGGUGGCCUCUAUAUAAAAGCUACCGCUAGAAGAUGGGUCUGCGUCUGAUUAGCUAGUUGGUGAGAUAACAGCUCACCAAGGCAAUGAUCAGUAGCCGGUCUGAGAGGAUGAACGGCCACACUGGGACUGAGACACGGCCCAGACUCCUACGGGAGGCAGCAGUGGGGAAUCUUCCGCAAUGGACGAAAGUCUGACGGAGCAACGCCGCGUGAGUGAAGAAGGUUUUCGGAUCGUAAAGCUCUGUCUUCAAGGACGAAUGUAGAUAUUGUGAAUAAUGAUAUUAAUGACGGUACUUGAGGAGGAAGCCACGGCUAA
rnacentral:rRNA from 1 species